AAUAUUGGAUAAUGGGCGAAAGCCUGAUCGAGCCAUGCCGCCUGUGUGAAGGAAGUCUUCGGACUGUAUAUCACUUUCAGUUGGGAGGAGGGAAGUAAGUUAAUUCCUUACUGUUUGGACGUUACCGACCGGAUAAGCAACGGCUAACUUCACUGCAGUAGCCGCGGUAAUACGAAGGGUGCAAGCGUUACUCGGAAUUACUGGGCGUAAAGCGCGCGUAGGUGGUUUGUUAAGUUGGAAGUGAAAGCCCCGGGCUCAACCUGGGAACUGCUUUCAAAACUGGCAAGCUAGAGUAUGGCAGAGGGUGGUGGAAUUCCCUGUGUAGCGGUGAAAUGCGUAGAGAUAGGAAGGAACACCAGUGGCGAAGGCGACCACCUGGGCUAAUACUGACACUGAGGUACGAAAGCGUGGGGAGCAAACA
rnacentral:rRNA from 1 species